AUUGAACGCUGGCGGCAGGCCUAACACAUGCAAGUCGAACGAGUGGCGGACGGGUGAGUAAUGUCUGGGAAACUGCCUGAUGGAGGGGGAUAACUACUGGAAACGGUAGCUAAUACCGCAUACCAUCGGAUGUGCCCAGAUGGGAUUAGCUAGUAGGUGGGGUAAAGGCUCACCGAGGCGCAGAUCCCUAGCGGGUCUGAGAGGAUGGCGAGCCACAUUGGAACUGCGACACGGUCCAGACUCCUACGGGAGGCAGCAGUGGGGAAGAUGGCACAAUGGGCGCAAGCCUGAUGCAGCCAUGCCGCGUGUAUGAAGAAGGCCUUCGGGUUGUAAAGUACUUUCAGCGGGGAGGCGUUACCCGCAGAAGAAGCACCGGCUAACUCCGUGCCAGCAGCCGCGGUAAUUC
rnacentral:rRNA from 1 species